AACUGCUUAUUUUAAAGGACUAUUUUGAUAGAAUAGAUCAUGUAUGUAUAUUAUACUCUUA
rnacentral:tRNA from 1 species